GAUGAACGCUGGCGGCGUGCCUAAUACAUGCAAGUCGAGCGAACAGACGAGGAGCUUGCUCCUCUGACGUUAGCGGCGGACGGGUGAGUAACACGUGGAUAACCUACCUAUAUGACUGGGAUAACUUCUGGAAACCGGUGCUAAUACCGGAUAAUAUAUUCAACCGCAUGGUUCAAUAGUGAAUGACGGUUUUGCUGUCACUUUUAGAUGUUUCCGCGCCGCAUUAGAUAGUUGGUAAGGUAACGGCUUACCAAGGCAACGAUGCGUAGCCGACCUGAGAGGGUGAUCGGCCACACUGGAACUGAGACACGGUCCAGACUCCUACGGGAGGCAGCAGUAGGGAAUCUUCGGCAAUGGGCGAAAGCCUGACGGAGCAACGCCGCGUGAGUGAUGAAGGUCUUCGGAUCGUAAAACUCUGUUAUUAGGGAAGAACAAAUGUGUAAGUAACUAUGCACGUCUUGACGGUACCUAAUCAGAAAGCAACGGCUAACUACGUG
rnacentral:rRNA from 1 species